rnacentral:rRNA from 1 species
GUCCACGCCGUAAACGAUGUCUACUAGCCGUUGGGAGACUUGAUUUCUUAGUGGCGCAGCUAACGCUUUAAGUAGACCGCCUGGGGAGUACGGCCGCAAGGUUAAAACUCAAAUGAAUUGACGGGGCCCGCACAGGCGGUGGAGCAUGUGGUUUAAUUCGAUGCAACGCGAAGAACCUUACCAGGUCUUGACAUCCAGAGAACUUGGCAGAGAUGCCUUGGUGCCUUCGGGAGCUCUGAGACAGGUGCUGCAUGGCUGUCGU